rnacentral:lncRNA from 1 species
AUGUUGUUCAUGUUCAAUCUGGGUAUUCAUGAUGUUAUUGGGACCUUUUUUGAUCUUGUUGAAUCUGCGACGAUGGCGCGGCAAGGAUGGUGGAGGGUAGGUUUUUGAACCCGCAACCCCACUUUGCAGCCUCUGAUGUUCGGAAAAUCUGAGCCAAAACUUUUUUUUUCCAGAAUCCACUCAUUCUUUUUUAUUUUUGUUUUGUUGGGUUUUUUUAUAUUUUUUUUGAGGCGUCGAUGAUGAUAGCAAACUAUCUGAGACACCUACCGAAUAACGAUUUUCUGGAUGUGUUCGUUUUUGUGUAAAAAAGUUUUUGUAAAAGAAAAAAAAUUAAACCGUAAACUUUUUUACUUAAAACGUAAAACAUAAAAGGUUUUACGUAAAACGUAAAAAGUUUUACGCCAAACGUAAAACUUUUUACGUAAAAACGUAAAACGUAAAAACUUUUUACGUAAAACGUAAAAAGUUUUCCGUAAAACGUUAAAAGUUUUAGGUAAAACGUAAAAUUUUUUUAGUAAAACGUAAAAAACGUUAACGUAAAAAAAACCGGCACGUAAAACGUAAAAAAAAGUUAACGUAAAAAACCGGGGCGUAAAACGUAAAAAACCGGCGCGUAAAACGUAAAUAACGUUAACGUAAAAAACCGGCGCGUAAAACGUCAAAAAACGUUAACGUAAAAAACCGGCGCGUAAAACGUCAAAAAACGUUAACGUAAAAAACCGGGGCGUAAAACGUAAAAAACCGACGCGUAAAACGUAAAAAACCGGAGCGUAAAAUGUAAAAAACCGACGCGUAAAACGUAAAAUAACGUUAACGUAAAAAACCGGCGCGUAAAACUUAAAAAACGUUAACGUAAAAAACCGAGGCGUAAAACGUAAAAACCUGGGGCGUAAAACGUAAAAACGGCGCGUUGAAAAAACGACGCGUGCAAAAACCGGCGCGCAAAAAAAAUGUCUUUGUUGAAAAAAUCCGAAUUUAAGAAUGUUUUUAAUAAAAAAAUCUUUCUAAAAAAUAAAAAGCAAU